GACAGAGACCUCAAGCGUUAUCCGGAAUCAUUGGGCGUAAAGCGUACCGAUAGGUGGUUAUACAAGUCAGAAGUGAAAUCUCCGAGCUCAACUCGGAAUCUGUCUUUUGAAACUGUAUGACUAGAGGGGCAAAGAGGAAGCUGGAACGAACGGUGUAGUAGUGAAAUGCGUUGAUAUCGUUCGGAACACCAAUAGCGUAGGCAGGCUUCUGGGUGCCACCUGACACUGCUAGGACGAAAGCGUGGGGAGCGAAUGGG
rnacentral:rRNA from 1 species